CAAAAAUUCCAGGAAAUUGGGAUUGGCCAAAAUAUGAAGAAGAAAAGAAAAUACCAUUCCAAGCUAUAAAUGAGGGAGUGAUGCAGAGUUAUGAUGGGCGUCUAAAUAUAGGGAAUGAAUCGGCCAUGCAAAUGCAAUUAUACGAAAGUGAUACUAUUAUUUUGCCCCUGUGUUUGCAUGCAAAAAGAUGGGGAUUGGGAAAGAACGGCAAAGCUACCACCGAAUGGGGUCCAUCUCCUUCUUCACGGGUUCUUCUAUUACCAGAUUCACGCAUGCAGUUUUGGCUCUCUUGCCCCGCUUCACUACACCACAUUUUUUAUGUUUUUCUUUUCUACAUAUAUAUAAAAGUAAGUUUAGUAUCUAUUUUUGUACCUACACUUGCAUAAACUCUUAAUUGCCCCAACACUUAUAUUUUUUUUAUUUAUAUAAGGGUGGGUUUAGAUGGGCG
rnacentral:lncRNA from 1 species